GAGAGAGGCUGGCAGCAGCGAAAAUUGCUAAUUUUUGUUACCUUGGUUAGAUUCCAAGGCUCACUCG
rnacentral:tRNA from 2 species